UACUGGGCGAGGCCGUGCGGGGGGCUGUCGCUCCCCCCCUGCCGCGGGGCGGGUGCGUGUCCCGUGGGGCUGUGCCCUGCCCGCGCGGGGCGGCGCCGGCCCCGCCCGCCCCCUCGGGAGCCCGGCGGCCCGAGGCCCGUCACGGCUUCUCCCAGGCUCAGCGCCGCCGUCGCGCUGCUGCGGCCGGGGUGGAGGGAAACCUCGCUGCACGGCUGGCCGCGCCCGGGCCUAGCCGGCGGCGCCAUCUUCCCCUGUGCAGCGGGGCGGGGGCUGCGCAGGUGUGAGGGGCCGCCUUUCCCGCCGCGCGGUUUGGCGGGAAGGGCAGCGGGGCGGCCGUGUCCCCUGCGGCCUGAGGGGAGCCGAGUGGGCCCUCUGCCCCCUGCGGGCCGGGGAGCCCCGCGGCACCUCCAGGUGGGCCCAAGGCCUUCCCCCGGAGGCGGCCGAGCCCUUGUUCCCCCGGUACACCCCCUCAGGCAGCGGGGGGAGCUCGCUCCCGGCCCCCGUGAGAGAGGAGCAGUCCCGGGCCCGCCUGGGCGCUUUCCCGGGGGCGGCUGGCACGGAACCGGCCGGGCCCCGCGGGCAGCGGAGUAGGUCGUGUUUCGUUUCUGUGCUGAUUGGCAUCUCCUAAUUGUUCCUGGGCUGUUAAUUAACACCUGGUGGUAUAUUUCCAUCUCGGUCUAGCUGCUGUGUGGUUUGCCUCUGUAGGAUGCUGUGAGAUACAGGUGGAAGCAAUACCGAAGUUGAAACUGUUACAUUUUCUGUGACAAUGACUCAUCCAUCUACAGCUAGAGCGAAAUUCCAGAAAAGAAGUACUUACCUCAACAGUGCCAUCCUCCUUCCAGAAAGCUUAUUCUCUGCAUUUGGUUUUUGAGGCCCUCCUCCAGGGAGUACAGCCAUUGCUUUGAAGUCACCUACAGUCCUGGUGGAAAUGUGGUUUGUCAGUUGGGGAAGAGGACUUUGCUUACCAGCAAAUGAAAUUCUUUGACGUACAUUGUUUAUGUGUACUUUCACCUCACAUCCUCUUUUUCCUGUUGUGUAAAGUCCUUUGACAUUAAGGGACUCAGCAGGUGGGAUAAAACUGAGGGGUGUAAUGCAUGUGCUGGUCUUUUCCUUCCUAUGAACAGAAUGAGGACGGGAUGAGUGCCCACGGGUGUAUGUGUACUCCUAGCAGGAAUAUGCACGUAGGCAGCCAGUCCCAGAGAACUCCAGCUAUGACAGACUACCUUUCUGCUAACAGGCUAACGUGGGAUGUUACAUUUUUCUGGUGCUAUAAAUAACUGGAAAACCUCAAGCACAAAUGCCAGUGCCUUAAGUAUAAAAAAGUUUAUAACAAAGUAUUUCAUUUGUGUGAACACUGUCUUAAUGUGGGGACAUUUAUUCAACCCUAGUGUAUGGCAUCAGGAGACAAUACUGCAGCAUAUUCUGAAACGGUCUAUAUGUCUUUGGCUUUCAUCACGUGAAGCUACGCUACCUGUGACUGUAGGUGUAGUGAGAGUUCACAGACACCUCUCGGAUACUUCAUGCUAUAGCAGCAUUGGUAGCUGAGCUAUGGGAAAACUGAAGAGCAUGCUGCUUUUUCUUUCUUUCUGAGUGUUUUAAAAUAGGUUUCUGGAAAGGUUUUGAGUAGGCUUACAAUUUGAUAAAUGUCACAGGUUCUGAUACUCUACGACCAGAUGAAUUUUUUUUAGCCCUGACUAAAAUAUGUAGAUCUAAGGACCUAGAAGUAUUUCAGUGCUGCAAGGGAGAUUUGACUGAAUAGCUGUCAGGCCACUGAAACAAAUCAGCAAAGGGCACCGGGGCAAAGUCUGGCUUCCUGAAGACUCAGUUUGUAGCUGAUGUGUCAGGAGAUCUGAGCUCUACCUGCAGGAUUUCCCGCAGUUUAAACAUUUAGCCUUUUCUCAUAAUAGGGACAUACAUAUUUAACGUCUUAAUAUCUUCCAUAAAAUAUAGGCACCAAUUUUUGCACGUCCAAAGCAAUCAGCAGCUGAGCCUGCACAGCUAUGUGCAAGGGGCAGCUAUAGUUAGGAGGCCCACAGUGUCUGGCACUUCCAUAAAAGAGAAGGAAAUGGGAGCCUCAGGCUUUUGUCAAUGACAUCCUGAGCUGGGUAAGUGAUGUUUAUUCCAGUUUAUUAAUAAAGGAGAAAAGUAAUUCUCAUGUGGUCUAGACCCUACCAUAGAUGCGAAUGAUAUCUUAAUGACUUAAGUUAAAUCUAAAUGAUCCAUAAACCCUGCACGUAGUUAUAUGAAUUCCAUCUACUAAGCCUUUCUCAAAGGCCCCAGAACAUGCUGGUGUGGAAUAGCCCCUUUUUAAAUGGAAAAUACUGACCCGCUAUCAGCUGUACUGUCUUGUCCAACCUAAAUACCAGCUGUGUCGGCUGUGGUAACUGUCAGCAAUUGUUUCUCUGACAGGGAGCAACAGGGUUCUGUGCCGAGUUACACUUUUCUGUCCUUCUCUUUUGACAGCUAAGUGUCAGAUUGCAGGCAAAUUCAUCCUCCCCAUGCUAUGGGUUCUGUGGCAUGUGGGGUUUUAAAUCUUCAUUUUCCUUUUCAAAUCAUAUAUUUUAGUAAAAAAAAGUCCAGUACUGUAGCACCCAACACUAAAACAUGUUGCAUGAAUUCUUUUUAGAACCAUGCAACUCAUAUAAUUAAAACUCUGGAGAUUUUCCCUGCCUUUAAAGAAUAUAUAGGAGUUAUUUUUCUAAAAUUAAAUUUUACUUUGCCAUGUUCAAUUUCACUUUAUGUUUACUACAUUUACGUCAUAAAUGUGAGCAGUUUGUACUGCUCAUAUUUCCCAUUAAUAGAAUGUUGGGGUUUGUUAAGGAACGUAGGCUUUAUGCUUGUAUUAAUUAUUAUAUGCAAUUUGCAUAAUAUUAGCAUCUAGUUUAAUUGUUUAGGCCUGUAAGAAUUAUUCAAAGUGAGCAAUUUAAACUCCAAAAACUUACUCCCAUUUCCUAUCUUUAAUUACAGGAGUAGAAGGAAAAAAAUAGACAUUUUUGCAGUAUGGGAACCCAAUUAAUAGCUGGUUGAUUUUUCACUUAGAAAGACAUGUAGUUUGCAAGGACUUUUUGUUUGGAAUUAGAAACCUCCCAGUCCCGGCUCUUCCUGAAUGAUUAGCUUUGAUUAUACUUUGCUCUGGUAUUAACUAUAUGGCCAUGUAAGUCACAUGAUGUUGUUGCUACCUCCUAGCUGAAGGGCAGUACCUUUUCAGCAUUGCUUUAUGAGGAUGUAGAUACCAAAACAUCUUGCAAACAGCCUAGCACUUUAACUGGCUUUUCACUUUCUGAAAUGUUACUGCAAGCAAAAUAUCAUUUUUAUGCUUCCAUUAAAUGAAUAAAAAAGAUUAUGACUGCCAUCAAAAGAGGUCUUCUGAUUUUUUUCAUAUGAAUUCUGAUGUUUAUUUAAAGCACUCUAUAGCUCAUCUGUCAGCUGCCUUUAAAAACGAAGCAGAAGGAACGUUUGUUCCAGGCAUCAUAAUUUGAGGUAGCCAGUCCUGUUUUCCUCCAAAACUUUGAAAUGUCCUUAUAACCUCCCAACAUUAGUUUCUGGAUUUUUAUGGGACUGUGAUCCCUUCAGGAAAAACCUACUGAUUGUUAGACUCACCUGGUUUGUGAUUAACUCUUAUUGCACGUAUGACUUGUUUUACCUAAAGCGUAAGAUUCCGGUUUGAACAGAAAAAUGUAAAUAUGAAGGUCUUGUGGAACUGAGGCAGCAAUGAAUAAUGUCUCCUUACUUUUAUGAGCAGGACUGGGAUGCUGAAUGUUACUGUGUGCAAAUUUUCUUUCUAUGAAGGCUUAGAAGGCAGAAUAGGUGUUACCUCAGCAGGCAGGAGUGCCGGGUCCUUUCCCUGAUGUUUUCAAGUGACUUUUGGAAUCCCUGCAGGGAAUGAAGGGCCAUAUCAUGUCACCUGCCAGUGGCUGCAGGAGACCUGGUGCCCCAUCAGCCUGCCACAUGGUCAGUCUUGAGGUGCAAUCACUGUGGCAGGGUGAACACGCUGCAGAUGGGGACUUCAGCACUGUAUGUAUGCCAGCUCCCAAGUGUAAGUUGCCUCUAAAGUCACAUCUUUGUGCAGUGGUUAUUCUUAGGAGGGUCAGGGAAAUUCUGAUGCCAGAAGUAUCAGUCUUAUUAGCUUGAAACUGAUAACAAAACUGCGAUCAUUUCCGAGCUGAGAUUGCCUCUGACUUGCUUCCUUUGUGCAUCUGUUGUUCCGUGGUGCUGGUGGUUGCUUUGAUCAUGGUUUGGAUUCAUUGGUGAUGUCACCGAGUGACUGUAAGAACUUUGCAGAGCUUCCUUGUGACUCUCUUCCUUCUCCCUGCAUCCACACUAAGCAGUAAAAGUGCUUUCUAUAAUAUAGAGUCAAUACUUAUCAAACCUGACAUUUUAAAAUAAGAGUUGAGUGUGACCCCAGACCUUUCUGCCACAGAAGUCAAAUGCUUUAUGACAUUAAUAAAAGAAGGGUUGCACCAAAGGUGUAUUGUCUUCAUAUUUCCAGGUCUUAGUCCUUAAUUCCCUAGAUACUUUGAGCAUCAAAUAUUUGCAGGCUGGGAAUCAAAAACUAUGAGCUACUAGAUAGUGAGACUAUCCUGUCGUCUGACCUGUGAAUCACACAAUAAUUUCAGUGUUAGGAGGCGUGUAAAAAGCCCACCAGAUCCUUGAGCUCUCUGAGAGGCCUCAUGCAGUUCUCAUCCCACCAAAGUCUGCCAUGGAUUCAGCAAUGUGUUAUCUGUGAAACAACAGCAUGCACUUUUCAUAUCCAUACUAUACUACAGGAUGUAACAUUUUACCAUGUUUUUACUCUGUAGAUUAAUUUUGAUCCUUGUAACAGUCUCCUGUAAAGGGGAGUAAAGUUGGUUAAGAGAGGAUGAGAACAUAGAACUUAGUCCAUAUCAGGGACUAAAUUUUGUGACAGGAUGUGCCACAUGCUAAAAUACAUAAUUAAGAAAUGGGACUUAAUUUUUAUAAGCUGGCCUUCCUCUUCCUUUCCAGUCCCAUCGUUCUUACUUUUCCUAUCUUGUUCUGAUUGUAAAUUCUUUGUGUAGCAAAGGGAUGUCCUUCUAUACUUCUGGAAAGUGCCUAAUAUAUUUUGGUAUUUCCAUAAUAUAAAUUUUUUUAUUUGUUUUUGCAAUUACUCCCAGAAUAAUGUCCACAGUGCAUACAAGAACUAUCUAGAAAGUGUGAUGAAGCCUGAGCCAUGCUGUACCAUCUUCUUUUUGAAAGUCUCAAAGAGGUCGGCAAAAAGUAACAUUUAAGUCAGUAGUAAGGUCUCUCAUUGCUUAAGUCGCCUUCUCAAAAUGUAUUAGCCCAUCUUUGUUAAUAUACCUUCUGAAAACCAGAUGAUUUGGGAUUACUAUACAUGGUCUCCUUAAACAUUGCCAAAGUUAUGCUUAGCCCAGUAAACUACCUUUUGCAUUGGAAGAACAAUGUUACAGGAUGACUACAUGAAUAUUUUCAAAGGAUUAAUGCAAAGUCAGAACACAUGUAUGUGUAAUAGAAAAACAAGGGUAUUUUCUUCUUGUGUGAUUCAGUGUUGCAUUGCGGUGUUCACAUAGGUGUGUUCCGGAACAAUUACCAAUAUAUGUAUUCAGCCUUAGCUGCUACUUCAGUUAGUAUUGCAAAUUAGAUUUUUAGGAAGAGCUGAUAAUCAUAAUAUGCUUUGGGUAUCAGAGUGAAUUAAUCAUACAAGUGAGGAGAUGCUAUUGCUCUAACUGGCAUGGCUUUGUUAAAUAGUGAUGCUAACCCAGGUGUGCAGUCCAGCUGACUUCAUGCAUGACAAGACUAUCGAGAUGCUGUUAUUUUGGUAUCUAGUUUUAGGUGCAGUUGAGGACACUGAGAUUUGUGAGCCUAAGUUCCCUGCAUAGCUCAAGCAGGCACUCUGAGAGCAUCUAAAUUAAAUGGCCAAAGUUGGUGUCACCUCUGUGCAAACACAGGUACAAGUUGUGUUCCAGUUUUCUGGAUUUACAAGGAGGUUAGAUCUCUGGUUUUGGAUCCCCAUCUUGGAUGUUGCCAUGAAAAGUAGCCAUCCAUAUUCUAAGAGUUACAGUCUUCAGAGAGUAUUUCGAGAACUCUCUGCCCCUAAAAGCUGUAUUUUGUAUAUG